CAACUUUCCAUCCACGGAGGACUCCUGCCAAUAGCUCCCUGCAGUUCGCUCCGUGUGGAACACAGUCUGGAUCCAGGUGCUACAGGAGUGUGUAAACACUGGGCCUGCUGGACUCUGCCACUGAAGCAGCCCGCUUCCCAGAACCCGCGGCCCCAGUUUCUGUUCAGCUGGGGCUCUUUCUGUAAGGCUCUGCAAGCCCCGCUGCUCCUUCUGAUGAGAGAACUCCUAAAAUGGCAGCAGCACCUUUUGGAGAGAACACUGGUGCUUGGGUUGAAGUGCUUUGUAAGAUCUCAGUCCACGGCUUCCCUCUCCUGGACCAUAAACUUUAUAUCCUAAGGGCUUGCCAGAUAAAUUGACUGGCAUAGACCCAUCCACCCUGAAAUUCUAUGAAAGAAGAGAAAAAUUGUCUAACUCUAAACAUAUGCACUAUUCUUUGUAAUGGUUUAGAAUUGUC
rnacentral:lncRNA from 1 species